CCCCUUCCCAUCGCGGUGCGCGCCUCCUAUAUCGGUCGUGCCGGGUUCGCCCGGCUAUGACGAUAAAUCGUGGCGUAUAAUAGAUGCAGCGGACCCGGGGGCAGUACCCGGCGGCUCCACCAUAAGGUGGUGUUUCUGGACACCGUUUCUGACGGGGCCGAACCAGGAUCGACGUGUAUUGAAAGGCGCUACCUUCGUUCGGAAUGGGACCACCGCGACGGCCCAUACACACAAGUGCCAACGAUAACGAAGCACUCGCUAUUGCGGCCUAACCCUACGUCCUAACGGACCAAGGUUAGACUAAAAUGCGCGGUUGAACCCACCGGGCAACAGAAGGGAAUUCAGCGGUUCGGAGGGCGCCGGGCAACAGAAGCCCCUCCACU
rnacentral:tmRNA from 2 species